GACGGAAGGUGCAAGCGUUGCUCGGAAUUAUUGGGCGUAAAGGGCGCGUAGGCGGCUUUUCAAGUGACGGGUGAAAUCCCUCGGCUUAACCGAGGAACUGCCUGUCAGGCUGGAAGGCUUGAGACCGGGAGAGGUGAGUGGAAUUCCCAGUGUAGCGGUGAAAUGCGUAGAUAUUGGGAGGAACACCAGUGGCGAAGGCGGCUCACUGGACCGGAACUGACGCUGAGGCGCGAAAGCGUGGGGAGCAAACAGG
rnacentral:rRNA from 1 species